rnacentral:rRNA from 1 species
ACGGGUGAGGAAUACAUCGGAAUCUACCUUUUCGUGGGGGAUAACGUAGGGAAACUUACGCUAAUACCGCAUAAGACCUUCGGGUGAAAGCCGGGGACCUUCGGGCCUGGCGCGGAUAGAUGAGCCGAUGUCGGAUUAGCUUGUUGGCGGGGUAAAAGCCCACCAAGGCGACGAUCCGUAGCUGGUCUGAGAGGAUGAUCAGCCACACUGGAACUGAGACACGGUCCAGACUCCUACGGGAGGCAGCAGUGGGGAAUAUUGGACAAUGGGCGCAAGCCUGAUCCAGCCAUACCGCGUGGGUGAAGAAGGCCUUCGGGUUGUAAAGCCCUUUUGUUGGGAAAGAAAUCCUGCCGGUUAAUAACCAGUAGGGAUGACGGUACCCAAAGAAUAAGCACCGGCUAACUUCGUGCCAGCAGCCGCGGUAAUACGAAGGGUGCAAGCGUUACUCGGAAUUACUGGGCGUAAAGCGUGCGUAGGUGGUUGUUUAAGUCUGUCGUGAAAGCCCUGGGCUCAACCUGGGAAUUGCGAUGGAUACUGGGCGACUAGAGUGUGGUAGAGGAUAGUGGAAUUUCCGGUGUA